CAGAACGGUCGGCUGGUCGCGUUGCCAUAAAGGCGAUGAGGAAAGUCCGGGCUUCAUAGAGCAAGGCGCAGGAUAACGUCCUGGCGGACUGGAUGAAAAUCCAGUUUGACGGAAAGUGCAACAGAAAAUAUACCGCCUUGGAAAAGGCAAGGGUGAAAUGGCGCGGUAAGAGCGCACCAGCAGAGAGGUGACUCUUUGGCUUGGCAAACCCCGCUUGAAGCAAGAUCAAACAGGGCAAGGGGCUGCUCGCUCCGUAAUCGGCCCGGGUGGAUCGCUAGAGGUUGCAGGUAACUGCAAUCCCAGAUAGAUGACCGGCAUCUCUUUCAGAGAUACAGAACCCGGCUUAUAGACCGUUCUGCUUU
rnacentral:RNase_P_RNA from 1 species